rnacentral:rRNA from 1 species
GACGAACGCUGGCGGCGUGCCUAAUACAUGCAAGUUGAGCGCUGAAGGUUGGUACUUGUACCAACUGGAUGAGCAGCGAACGGGUGAGUAACGCGUGGGGAAUCUGCCUUUGAGCGGGGGACAACAUUUGGAAACGAAUGCUAAUACCGCAUAAAAACUUUAAACACAAGUUUCAAGUUUGAAAGAUGCAAUUGCAUCACUCGAAGAUGAUCCCGCGUUGUAUUAGCUAGUUGGUGAGGUAAAGGCUCACCAAGGCGAUGAUACAUAGCCGACCUGAGAGGGUGAUCGGCCACAUUGGGACUGAGACACGGCCCAAACUCCUACGGGAGGCAGCAGUAGGGAAUCUUCGGCAAUGGACGAAAGUCUGACCGAGCAACGCCGCGUGAGUGAAGAAGGUUGUCGGAUCGUAAAACUCUGUUGGUAGAGAAGAACGUUGGUGAGAGUGGAAAGCUCAUCAAGUGACGGUAACUACCCAGAAAGGGACGGCUAACUACGUG